rnacentral:rRNA from 1 species
GGAGUUAGCCGGUGCUUCUUCUGUGAGUGAUGUCCUUCCUGCCGGCUAUUAACCCGCAGGCCUUCUUCCUCACUGAAAGUGCUUUACAACCCGAAGGCCUUCUUCACACACGCGGCAUGGCUGGAUCAGGGUUGCCCCCAUUGUCCAAUAUUCCCCACUGCUGCCUCCCGUAGGAGUCUGGGCCGUGUCUCAGUCCCAGUGUGGCUGAUCAUCCUCUCAGACCAGCUACGGAUCGUCGCCUUGGUGAGCCGUUACCUCACCAACCAGCUAAUCCGACAUAGGCUCAUCCGAUAGCGCGAGGCCCGAAGGUCCCCCGCUUUCCCCCGUAGGGCGUAUGCGGUAUUAGCCUGGGUUUCCCCAGGUUAUCCCCCACUACCGGGCAGAUUCCUAUGCAUUACUCACCCGUACGCCGCUCGCCACCAGGGAGCAAGCUCCCCGUGCUGCCGCUCGACUUGCAUGUGUUAGGCCUGCCGCCAGCGUUCAAUCUGAGCAGANCAACUACUGA